AUACGGAUGGUGCGAGCGUUGUUCGGAAUUACUGGGCGUAAAGGGCGCGUAGGCGGUUUAGUAAGUCAGAUGUGAAAGCCCUCGGCUUAACCGAGGAAGUGCAUCUGAAACUGUUAGACUUGAGUAUGGGAGAGGAAAGUGGAAUUCCCGGUGUAGAGGUGAAAUUCGUAGAGAUCGGGAGGAAUACCGGUGGCGAAGGCGACUUUCUGGACCAAUACUGACGCUGAGGCGCGAAAGCGUGGGGAGCAAACAGGAUUAGAUACCCUAGUAGUCC
rnacentral:rRNA from 1 species